CCUCCAGAGAUGCUCCCAUUUACACCCCUCUGUCUGGACCCUGUCCUGUGCCCCCCCCACUAGCUGCAAGGGAUGUGGGGAACAAAUCCUUAUUCUGGGCUUCUGUGUGCUCAGCUGAGACUCAGUUUUGGAAGAAGGGAGGGAAAGAUGGAGGGGGGUGGGGACAGUCGGUAGCAUCUGCCACAGUAAGAAUGGAAAAGCCCAUCAUAGGAUUUUUCUCUCCCAUCUUCAGCUCUGCAGGCAAGUCCUCACCGGCACUGUCUUAUGCUUGGGUGGAGCAAGGACUCGCCAAAAAUCACUCACCAUUAAUCCCUUCAUCAAUAAGAGUCAGUGAUUAUGCACAUCACAAUGUGAAGUUGCCACAAA
rnacentral:lncRNA from 1 species